AGAGUGAACGCUGGCGGUAGGCCUAACACAUGCAAGUCGAACGGCAGCACAGCAGUAGCAAUACUGUGGGUGGCGAGUGGCGGACGGGUGAGGAAUACAUCGGAAUCUACCUUUUCGUGGGGGAUAACGUAGGGAAACUUACGCUAAUACCGCAUAAGACCUUCGGGUGAAAGCCGGGGACCUUCGGGCCUGGCGCGGAUAGAUGAGCCGAUGUCGGAUUAGCUUAGUGGCGGGGUAAAACCCCGACCAAGGCGACGAUCCGUAGCGUGGUCUAGAGGAGGAUGGAUCAGCCACACUAGGACUGAGACGACGGU
rnacentral:rRNA from 1 species